rnacentral:rRNA from 1 species
CCUACGGCAGCAGUGGGGAAUUUUGGACAAUGGGCGCAAGCCUGAUCCAGCAAUGCCGCGUGAGUGAAGAAGGCCUUCGGGUUGUAAAGCUCUUUUGUCAGGGAAGAAACGGUUGGGGCUAAUAUCCUCAGCUAAUGACGGUACCUGAAGAAUAAGCACCGGCUAACUACGUGCCAGCAGCCGCGGUAAUACGUAGGGUGCAAGCGUUAAUCGGAAUUACUGGGCGUAAAGCGUGCGCAGACGGUUUUGUAAGUCUGUCGUGAAAGCCCCGGGCUUAACCUGGGAAUUGCGAUGGAGACUGCAAGGCUUGAAUCUGGCAGAGGGGGGUAGAAUUCCACGUGUAGCAGUGAAAUGCGUAGAGAUGUGGAGGAACACCGAUGGCGAAGGCAGCCCCCUGGGUCAAGAUUGACGCUCAUGCACGAAAGCGUGGGGAGCAAACAGGAUUAGAUACCCUGGUAGUCCACGCCCUAAACGAUGUCUACUAGUUGUCGGGUCUUAAUUGACUUGGUAACGCAGCUAACGCGUGAAGUAGACCGCCUGGGGAGUACGGUCGCAAGNUUAAAACGUUAAUUGAAUUGACGGNUUGAGACGNGCGAGACGACGACGAGGAGGAGG